AGGAGUGUAGCUCAAUAGAAUAGAGCAUCCGGCUUCUACCCGGAUAGUUGUAGGUUUGAGUCCUACCACUCCUG
rnacentral:tRNA from 1 species